AAACCAACAGGGAUUGCCUCAGUAACGGCGAGUGAAGCGGCAAAAGCUCAAAUUUGAAAUCUGGCUGUUCUGCAGCCCGAGUUGUAAUUUGAAGAACGGUUCUUGGAGAGGCGCCUUGUCUAUGUUCCUUGGAACAGGACGUCGCAGAGGGUGAGAAUCCCGUUUGGCGAGGUGUGCUGAUCCGUGUAAGGGCCGUUCGACGAGUCGAGUUGUUUGGGAAUGCAGCUCUAAGUGGGUGGUAAAUUCCAUCUAAAGCUAAAUAUUGGCGAGAGACCGAUAGCGAACAAGUACAGUGAUGGAAAGAUGAAAAGAACUUUGAAAAGAGAGUGAAAAAGUACGUGAAAUUGUUGAAAGGGAAGGUUAUUAGAUCAGACUUGGACGGGAGCUAUACUUGUCCCCUUGUGGGGCAUUCACUAGCUGCCAUUCCAGGCCAGCAUCGAUUGGGGGCGGCGGGAAAAAGAGGGAGGAAUGUGGCUCGUGCUUCUGCGCGUGUGUUUAUAGCCUCUCUUCAUACCGCCUGGCCCGAUCGAGGACUGCGGCCGUAAGGCCUAGGAUGCUGGCGUAAUGAUCUAAUAUCGC
rnacentral:rRNA from 3 species